rnacentral:rRNA from 1 species
AUUGAACGCUGGCGGCAUGCCUUACACAUGCAAGUCGAACGGCAGCAUGAUCUAGCUUGCUAGAUUGAUGGCGAGUGGCGAACGGGUGAGUAAUACAUCGGAACGUGCCCUGUAGUGGGGGAUAACUAGUCGAAAGAUUAGCUAAUACCGCAUACGACCUGAGGGUGAAAGUGGGGGACCGCAAGGCCUCAUGCUAUAGGAGCGGCCGAUGUCUGAUUAGCUAGUUGGUGAGGUAAAGGCUCACCAAGGCGACGAUCAGUAGCUGGUCUGAGAGGACGAUCAGCCAAACGGGGAAUGAGACACGGCCCAGAACCCUAGGGGGGGCAGAGGGGGGGAAUUUUGGAAAAUGGGGAAAAGCCUGAUCCAGAAAUGCCGGGUGUGUGAAGAAGGCCUGCGGGUUGUAAAGCACUUUUGGCCGGAAAGAAAGGGCUCUGGUUAAUACCUGGGGUCGGUGACGGUACCGGAAGAAUAAGGACCGGCUAACUACGU